AAGUAGGGGGAAAGCGUUAUCCGGAAUUAUUGGGCGUAAAGAGUGCGUAGGUGGUUUUUUAAGCGUGAGGUGAAAGGCAAUAGCUUAACUAUUGUAAGCCUUGCGAACUGGAAGACUUGAGUGCAGGAGAGGAAAGUGGAAUUCCUAGUGUAGCGGUGAAAAGCGUCAAUAUUAGGAGGAGCACCAGUGGCGAAGGCUACUUUCUGUACUCUAACUGACACUGAGGCACGAAAGCGUGGGGAGCAAACAG
rnacentral:rRNA from 1 species